rnacentral:misc_RNA from 1 species
GGGACCCAAAUCUGAGUAGUCAUAAGGAAGCAUACUAUGAGUUAGAAAAUUUUCGAUAUAUACCACGUGUAUUUCUUGGUCUUUUUCUCUUUAAUGCCCAUAUCAGAAAGCUCUCUUUUUUCUUUUCUGAAAAAAGAGAAUACUGCUACUCAGGUUGUGCAAAUAUCAUCUAACACGAAAAUUAUAGAGGCACAUUGCAUGACAAUGCAUAUAAUGGAUUUGCAGAAGGGUAUACAAAAAUACAAUGGUAGUUCUGUGAUAAUCUACUGUUUCUUGCCAUGAAGGAAACAAAAGAAAACAUAUAAGAACAGCAAUAUGUAAUAAAUGAAAAAUGCUCUUUAACGUUUAAAAAGAAUAACAAUGGGCUACCUAUAUGCAGCCAUAUCAUGUAUAUUAAGCACACAUAGCAGUGCUAAACAUUCUUUUUGAGAUAGGCAAUGGUUAGAUAAAUGAAUAACAAUGGAGCUUUUUUCCUGUUGUGAUUCUGGAAACAAGUGUAUCAUUCAACCGCAGUCAUUACAUCCCUUAAUGAACCAAUUCUACAGUUUUCUUGUAACAAAAUGCCACAAGAAAUAGGAGUUGAUAGACGACCUCAGUUUGCAUCCUUAGAAAUAGAUAAAGUUGAUGCUUAGCAUUCUUUGUCAUUUAAGAAAGAUAUAAAAACAUUAAAAUUAUAUUAU